GACGAACGCUGGCGGCGUGCCUAAUACAUGCAAGUCGAGCGAAUUUAUGGGAGCUUGCUCCCGUAAAUUAGCGGCGGACGGGUGAGUAACACGUGGGCAACCUGCCUAUAAGACUGGGAUAACUUCGGGAAACCGGAGCUAAUACCGGAUAAUUCCUUUCCUCACAUGAGGGAAGGCUGAAAGAUGGUUUACGCUAUCACUUAUAGAUGGGCCCGCGGCGCAUUAGCUAGUUGGUGAGGUAAUGGCUCACCAAGGCAACGAUGCGUAGCCGACCUGAGAGGGUGAUCGGCCACACUGGGACUGAGACACGGCCCAGACUCCUACGGGUGGCUG
rnacentral:rRNA from 1 species